rnacentral:misc_RNA from 1 species
CCAUUGAACGUCCUGUGUCCGGCGCGCGCAGCGCGAUGGGCAC